GAUGAACGCUGGCGGCGUGCCUAAUACAUGCAAGUCGAGCGAACGGACGAGAAGCUUGCUUCUCUGAUGUUAGCGGCGGACGGGUGAGUAACACGUGGAUAACCUACCUAUAAGACUGGGAUAACUUCGGGAGACCGGAGAUAAUACCGGAUAAUAUUUUGAACCGCAUGGUUCAAAAGUGAAAGACGGUCCUGCUGUCACUUAUAGAUGGAUCCGCGCUGCAUUAGCUAGUUGGUAAGGUAACGGCUUACCAAGGCAACGAUGCAUAGCCGACCUGAGAGGGUGAUCGGCCACACUGGAACUGAGACACGGUCCAGACUCCUACGGGAGGCAGCAGUAGGGAAUCUUCCGCAAUGGGCGAAAGCCUGACGGAGCAACGCCGCGUGAGUGAUGAAGGUCUUCGGAUCGUAAAACUCUUUUAUUAGGGAAGAACAUAUGUGUAAGUAACUGUGCACAUCUUGACGGUACCUAAUCAGAAAGCCACGGCUAACUACGUG
rnacentral:rRNA from 1 species